rnacentral:rRNA from 1 species
CAAGACCUUGCGCUUUUGGAGCGGCCGAUGUCUGAUUAGCUAGUUGGUGAGGUAAAGGCUCACCAAGGCUCCGAUCAGUAGCUGGUCUGAGAGGACGACCAGCCACACUGGGACUGAGACACGGCCCAGACUCCUACGGGAGGCAGCAGUGGGGAAUUUUGGACAAUGGGGGAAACCCUGAUCCAGCCAUGCCGCGUGAGUGAAGAAGGCCUUCGGGUUGUAAAGCUCUUUCAGCCGGAAAGAAAUCGUGCAGAUUAAUACUCUGUAUGGAUGACGGUACCGGAAGAAGAAGCACCG